rnacentral:rRNA from 1 species
ACGCUGGCGGCGUGCCUAAUACAUGCAAGUCGAGCGAACGGACGAGAAGCUUGCUUCUCUGAUGUUAGCGGCGGACGGGUGAGUAACACGUGGAUAACCUACCUAUAAGACUGGGAUAACUUCGGGAAACCGUAGCUAAUACCGGAUAAUAUUUUGAACCGCAUGGUUCAAAAGUGAAAGACGGUCUUGCUGUCACUUAUAGAUGGAUCCGCGCUGCAUUAGCUAGUUGGUAAGGUAACGGCUUACCAAGGCAACGAUGCAUAGCCGACCUGAGAGGGUGAUCGGCCACACUGGAACUGAGACGCGGUCCAGACUCCUACGGGAGGCAGCAGUAGGGAAUCUUCCGCAAUGGGCGAAAGCCUGACGGAGCAACGCCGCGUGAGUGAUGAAGGUCUUCGGAUCGUAAAACUCUGUUAUUAGGGAAGAACAUAUGUGUAAGUAACUGUGCACAUCUUGACGGUACCUAAUCAGAAAGCCACGGCUAACUACGUGCCAGCAGCCGCGGUAAUACGUAGGUGGCAAGCGUUAUCCGGAAUUAUUGGGCGUAAAGCGCGCGUAGGCGGUUUUUUAAGUCUGAUGUGAAAGCCCACGGCUCAACCGUGGAGGGUCAUUGGAAACUGGAAAACUUGAGUGCAGAAGAGGAAAGUGGAAUUCCAUGUGUAGCGGUGAAAUGCGCAGAGAUAUGGAGGAACACCAGUGGCGAAGGCGACUUUCUGGUCUGUAACUGACGCUGAUGUGCGAAAGCGUGGGGAUCAAACAGGAUUAGAUACCCUGGUAGUCCACGCCGUAAACGAUGAGUGCUAAGUGUUAGGGGGUUUCCGCCCCUUAGUGCUGCAGCUAACGCAUUAAGCACUCCGCCUGGGGAGUACGACCGCAAGGUUGGAACUCAAAGGAAUUGACGGGGACCCGCACAAGCGGUGGAGCAUGUGGUUUAAUUCGAAGCAACGCGAAGAACCUUACCAAAUCUUGACAUCCUUUGACAACUCUAGAGAUAGAGCCUCCCCCUUCGGGGGACAAAGUGACAGGUGGUGCAUGGUUGUCGUCAGCUCGUGUCGUGAGAUGUUGGGUUAAGUCCCGCAACGAGCGCAACCCUUAAGCUUAGUUGCCAUCAUUAAGUUGGGCACUCUAAGUUGACUGCCGGUGACAAACCGGAGGAAGGUGGGGAUGACGUCAAAUCAUCAUGCCCCUUAUGAUUUGGGCUACACACGUGCUACAAUGGACAAUACAAAGGGCAGCGAAACCGCGAGGUCAAGCAAAUCCCAUAAAGUUGUUCUCAGUUCGGAUUGUAGUCUGCAACUCGACUACAUGAAGCUGGAAUCGCUAGUAAUCGUAGAUCAGCAUGCUACGGUGAAUACGUUCCCGGGUCU